GACGUAGGGGGCAAACGUUGUUCGGAAUUACUGGGCAUAAAGGGCGUGUAGGCGGCUUGGCCAGUCUGGGUUGAAAGCCCCCGGCUCAACCGGGGAAUCGGCCCAGAUACUGCCGAGCUUGAGGCCAGCAGGGGGGUGUGGAACGUCUGGUGGAGCGGUGAAAUGCGUAGAUAUCAGACGGAACACCGGUGGCGAAGGCGACACCCUGGGCUGGACCUGACGCUGAGGCGCGAAAGCGUGGGGAGCAAACAGG
rnacentral:misc_RNA from 1 species